GAUGAACGCUAGCGGCAGGCUUAAUACAUGCAAGUCGAGGGGCAGCACAGGUAGCAAUACUGGGUGGCGACCGGCAAACGGGUGCGGAACACGUACACAACUUACCUUCUGGUGGGGGAUAGCCUUUGGAAACGGAGAUUAAUACCCCAUAUUAUAUAUGAGCUGCAUGGUUUGUAUAUUAAAGACUUAUUGCCGGAAGAUGGGUGUGCGUAUGAUUAGGUAGUUGGCGGGGUAACGGCCCACCAAGCCGACGAUCAUUAACUGGUGUGAGAGCACGACCAGUCACACGGGCACUGAGACACGGGCCCGACUCCUACGGGAGGCAGCAGUAAGGAAUAUUGGUCAAUGGACGGAAGUCUGAACCAGCCAUGCCGCGUGGAGGAUGAAGGCCCUCUGGAUUGUAAACUUCUUUUAUAGGGGGCGAAAAAAGGGAAUUCUUUCACGUCUGACGGUACCCUAUGAAUAAGCACCGGCUAACUCCGUGCCAGCCGCCGCGGUAAUAC
rnacentral:rRNA from 1 species